rnacentral:sRNA from 1 species
UGUUAUGGAAUGAUACCUGUCCUUGUGC